rfam:Leptolinea tardivitalis strain YMTK-2 contig_5, whole genome shotgun sequence.
AGCGACAAAGGCAAACCCGGUGAAAACCGGGGACGCAAAGUUACGGGUCUACAUUCACUUUUGUGGAUAUGAUCGCCGAACCACCGAAA